rnacentral:rRNA from 1 species
UACGAAGGGGGCGAGCGUUGUUCGGAUUUACUGGGCGUAAAGGGCGCGUAGGCGGCGCAACAAGUCAGGCGUGAAAGCCCCGGGCUCAACCUGGGAGGUGCGCUUGGGACUGUUGUGCUUGAGUUCGGGAGAGGGAUGCAGAAUUCCAGGUGUAGCGGUGAAAUGCGUAGAUAUCUGGAGGAAUACCGGUGGCGAAGGCGGCAUCCUGGACCGACAUUGACGCUGAGGAGCGAAAGCUAGGGGAGCAAACGGG